UGGGGACAGACCCGAUCCCUCCCAUUUUCUCUUCUUCUUUCGCCGUUUCUGGUUUUCCGGCGAAUUUGUCGCCGUCCGGCCACCUCAGGACGAACCGCUUGCCAUGGCAUGAUACUCUCUUCCUUCUCUUCCUAGUCAUCUUGUUUUGGCCGGUGGAGGAAGAAUUGAAGGUGUUUGGGGCGUGAACAUUAGGAUGAACAGUAAUCGAAGAAAUUCUUGAUUUUGGGGUUGAUUUUCCGACCACUUUUGCUUGAAAUUGGCUGUCGUUGCAGGACAUACUGAGCCCUCGAGUGAGGAGGACACGAGCAGGCAGCAGGAUUAGCUGCGAGACUCACUUGU